GAAAUAUUAGAGAGUCACAUCUACAGACUACUGUUGGUCAUCUUUGGGCAUCAUCAACCACAAUUUACCUUUUCUUUUUUUUGCUUUAUUCCUCUCAUAGUCAAUAAUAAUUUGAAAAUUUUGAAGUUCCUAUAAGUCUAAACAUUUUCAUACUUUUAUUUAGUAAAAAAAUAAUAAUUUUUAAUGUAUUUCAAAUGCCAAAUUUGCAAUCAAAUAAUGG
rnacentral:misc_RNA from 1 species